rnacentral:rRNA from 1 species
GACGAACGCUGGCGGCGUGCUUAACACAUGCAAGUCGAACGGAAAGGCCCUGCUUUUGUGGGGUGCUCGAGAGGCGAACGGGUGAGUAACACGUGAGUAACCUGCCCUUGACUUUGGGAUAACUUCAGGAAACUGGGGCUAAUACCGGAUAGGAGCUCCUGCUGCAUGGUGGGGGUUGGAAAGUUUCGGCGGUUGGGGAUGGACGCGCGGCUUAUCAGCUUGUUGGUGGGGUAGUGGCUUACCAAGGCGUUGACGGGUAGCCGGCCUGAGAGGGUGACCGGCCACAUUGGGACUGAGAUACGGCCCAGACUCCUACGGGAGGCAGCAGUGGGGAAUAUUGCACAAUGGGCGGAAGCCUGAUGCAGCAACGCCGCGUGCGGGAUGACGGCCUUCGGGUUGUAAACCGCUUUCGCCUGUGACGAAGCGUGAGUGACGGUAAUGGGUAAAGAAGCACCGGCUAACUACGUG